GUUUGCAAUUACAUUCCAAGCGUUUUGUGUCGCUAAUUAAGACUUUAUUUAAAGUUGAUUAAUAAAUGUUUGUGUAUACAAGUGUUCAACGUUUUUAGCAAUUUGACAGAUGGAACGUUUUUCUGCCAUUUCCAAUAAAAGACCUCUGUUAUUUAUUAGAUGUCAGCAACACAUUCCCAGCCUAAUUGAUCCAUCCACAAGUUGACCUCCCGUCCGACUGUGUUCCCACAAUGCCUGACGACGGGUCCCACCCACGCAGGCACUAUUGGAUAAUCGCUGGCGUCGUGCUCAUGUACUGGGCAGUGUCCAUCUCCAUGGUCUUCCUCAACAAGUUCAUCCUCAGUGGCUCGUUUGGUGAUGAAGAAUUGACGAUUUUUGCCGCCUGGUAUCAAAGCUUAAGUGCCGCCGGAUUCAUAGUUUUUAUCGGAUUUGGGGGUCAAAAGUGUAAAAUAAAAGUUCCGAAAGUUGAGCCAAGUUUACUGUAUUCGAGAACUAUGCUACUGUUGUCGAUGAGCUCAGUUUGUUCUUUGACUUUUAACAACCUGAUGCUGAAGCACAUUGGCGUGGCGUUUUAUCAGGUGGCUAGAUCGUUCACGAUUAUUUUCACUAUAGGAUUAUCAGCUAUUUAUCUGAAGAAAGGCCUUACCGCGCGAGCAGUGAUGUCGUGUUUUUUAGUAGUCUGCGGGUUUUUCAUUGGAAUAGACCAGGAAGAUGUCUCUGGGACGCUGAGUGUCAUGGGAGUUAUAUACGGGCUGUUGUCAAGCCUGUCGGCAGCGGUUACCGGAAUACUUUUCAAAAAAGCGGAAACCGUGCUAGAUAGAGAUUCCCUGAAAUUAGCUUACUACAACAACAUGAAUUGCAUGAUGUUGUUCCUUCCAUUAGUAAUAGGCUCAGGACAGCUAGUAUCCGUGUUUAAAUCGCAGUACAUUUACUCAAUGAACUUCUGGUUGGUUUUGACCUUCACUGGCGGGCUCAGCCUGUGUAUUGGCUGGGUCAGUGCCCUUCAGAUUAAGUACACCUCACCAAUAGCUCAUCACCUGAGUAUAAAUGCCAAGUCGGUGUGUCAAACUGUUCUAGCCGUAUUAUUUUACAAUGAAUCGAAAACGUUGUACUGGUGGUUGGGUAACUUUUUGGUUGUUGCCGGAGUUUUAGUGUAUACUUUCACGAGAAUUCUCGAGGAUUCCAAGAAAUCCAAAGACGACGUUUCCAGUGCAGACUUGCCGAUAACCUUACAGAAACAGCAUACAAAUGGGCAUUUUAAAGUUUGAUUGUUUUGACAACUACGUUCAAAUUGACCAUGAACUGAAAUUUAUACAAACUCAACAUUUUUAGCUCAGCUGUUUUCGGAGAAAACCUGAGGUAUUGUCAUAGCCAGCUGGUCGUGUCGUGUCCACCGUCCGCUAAAACCUUGACAUUUUGUCAAGGUUUUGAACAUUGGCUCUAAAUCAAAGUGCUUCAACAUACAACUUUGCAACUUCAUAUGUAGCUGCACCUUGAUGAGUUCUACAUGCCACACCCAUUUUUUGGUCACUAGGUCAAAGGUCAAGGUCACCGUCACCGUGACCUAAAAAAAAUAAAAUCUGACAAGCUUUUAUCUAUUCAAACAGCACCAGCAGCCGAACGUGGCACCCGUUAUGCGGUGCUCUUGUUAAACAAAAUAUUUUAUUUCUUAAGAUUUUAUUACAUUGUUAAGACCCAUAAUAGUUUUUAAGCACCAGUAAUAGCCAAUUGUACAGCUCUGGAUAACUCUUGUCCAGCAGAUAACUUUUGGUGUCUUCCAUUUUAAGAUUUCUUUUGUUGGUUAGUGAUAGUAUAAAAAUAAUAGAUAUACAGUGUAUGCAACAGGUGCCUAUUUUAGUUUAGUCUUGGAAAAGAUUAAGCCAAGGUAUUUGGCUUUGGUUUUCUUUAUCCGAAUUAAAGUUAUCUUUUGGAUUGGCUAAAGUAAUCCAUAUUUAUACUAUUGGCCACUCUUAGGAAAAAGCUUUGCUUUAACAUAUUGUAUGUAUAAAACUGAUGCAGUUAAAGAUCCAGAAGUAAGAAUAAAGUUUUUCUAUUAUAUCACACACUGACACCACAGUGCUUUCCACAGGAUUUUUGUCAGGCGCCCUGGGGCUGAUAGGAAUGGUUCGGGAGGGGUGUCCCCUCCCUACGUUGAUUUUUUUUUAAAUUUAACGUGUCAAUGUGCUUGUUAAAACGCUUAAUACACGUACGCAUUCUAUGAAAAUGACGCGAGGUUGUACAUGCUGCAUAGUUUUCGCGCUCUUUUUUAAUUGAGAAAAAUAUUCGACACAAAAUAAAUUUGCACUGCUAAUUUGAAGCAAAAAUAUUUUAUUUAACGUUGCGGUAACAUUUACAUUCGGAAGUGUGUUUCGGACUAAAAACGCGUUAACAUCGACUUACGGGAAUGGGUUUCGGAUUACAAAGUUAAUUAUUGUCAUUUGAGAUUUCAACAAAUAUUAACAGUUGCGUUAUAAAUUCAACGAUAAUUUGUUAAAACAUUUUGUUUACGAGUCGAAUAAAUGUUUUGACGGAAUUAUGCAUGAAAUUUACGUUGUCCACGAGGAUUACGGCCGGUUGCCAUCAUCAGUCUUCUAAGUAUCGAUUAUCGGACAAAACAUUUACAAGUGUGCUUAAUUAAUUCAACAAAAAUUUGUUAAAGCGCAUUACGUGUCGAAUUAAUGUCAGAAAAACGAGGUGAAUCAGUUCUUUACAUGGACAUGAUGAAAUAUACAUGUACUGUAAUUAAAUUGUUAUCGCAUAAUUGUAACCGGGAGUCAUUUGCACAACUUACUCGCUAUAAGUAAUUAAUUGUUUACCACUUCCAAUUAAUUUCUUGUAUUAAUUAUGAGUCAUAGGUAACACUUGUUUACAGUAAAAAGGUGUGAUGAUGAUGCCCGAAACCGUCUUUAAUGUACUGUACUGUACUAAUUACCGGUUUUAUAUUACAUAAAUGGUACAACUUCUUGCUAAUCAAGCUGCGAUAAACUCUUACUUCGUGCCCGACGUCAAUCAAAAAUAAUGGUCGAUAGUUAACCCCGCCCUCAUAAGCAUUUGCGUAACCGAUUGGACGAUGAACAUCACAGUUUGACGACUGGAAAGUUACCAGAUACAUCCUUGUCAGCAUUUAAAUGACUGUGUAAUGUGGCUAGAAUAUUCGAUACGCGCGUCAUGCUAUUCUCUUAUCAGUGGAUUAUCCAUUACCCCAUGUGGUGUUUAUGGCGAUUACUUGUGAAAGUAGGUACAGAGGCUCUUUUAAAACAGGGAAUAUUGAUACACCGAUAGAGAAACCUUGAUUUUUUUUUACAAUCUCCACUUUCUUUUACUAAAAAAUACACCGAUCGGAAAAUUUCAAGCGCCCCGGGGACUCUGAUUUCGAAAUUCAAGCGUCCCAGCGAGGGAUCGUUAAAUGACCUGUGGAAAGCCCUGCACCAUACUAACAUAAAAUUCCCUAUUGACCCAACUCUGUAUUUCACUCACUGCACUUAAUCAUGUGUCUCUUGCAAUGAAGACUCGGACAUAUAUGCGGUGGACAUGAUGAUGAAACGAUUUUCAUCGGAUUCCACUAAGUCAUUCACAUGCUCAUUUCCAAAUCCUAAAUUGUGAUUUCCUUAAUGUCCCAUCUCUGUGUUUCACUCACUGCACUUUAUCAUGUGACUGACCGUCUGUUGCAAAUUGAAGACACAGACAUAAAUGUGGUGGAGAUGAUGAUGAAAUGAUUUUCAUCGGAUUCCACAAAGUCAUUCCCAUGCUGAUUUCCAAAUUGUAAAAUGCGUGAUUAGACAAUAAUCAGAAUUUUUUUCAAGCUGACGUCAGUGAAAAUCAUGAAUCUUUGUUUCUGGUGUAGAAAUUUUAAAUCAAUUAAGUAUUGUAUUUGUUCCAGUCAGAGCAAAUUGCAUUAACAACAUUACUUAACAUAGCAAAUCAUAACAUAGCAUAGGACAGAAAAGCAUAAUAUUACAUAAUAUACAUAAUUAUGUUGAAUAAUUUUGGAUUUUAAUACUCUCCAACAGAGUAGACAAUUUAGAAACUUCUUGGGACAAUUUGUAUGUGUCAUCAGAUCUCAAGUUUGGGUCGAAAGUGGAAAAUAUAGAAAUGAAGAAUUGCGAUGCAGAAAUGUUUCUGGCUGAGUUUGAAAUGGGUAUGGUUGAGUUUAAAUGGGUAUGGUUGAGUUUGAAAUGGAUAUGGUUGAGUUUGAAAUGCAUAUGGUUGAGUGUGAAAUGGGUAUGGUUGAGUUUGAAAUGGGUAUGGUUGAGUGUGAAAUGGGUAUGGUUGAGUGUGAAAAGGGUAUGGUUGAGUGUGAAAUGGGUAUGGUUGAGUGUGAAAUGGGUAUGGUUGAGUGUGAAAAGGGUAUGGUUGAGUGUGAAAUGGGUAUGGUUGAGUGUGAAAUGGGUAUGGUUCAGUGUGAAAUGGGUAUGGUUGAGUGUGAAAAGGGUAUGGUUGAGUGUGAAAUGGGUAUGGUUGAGUUUGAAAUGGGUAUGGUUGAGUUUGAAAUGGGUAUGGUUGAGUUUGAAAUGCAUAUGGUUGAGUGUGAAAUGGGUAUGGUUGAGUUUGAAAUGGGUAUAGUUGAGUGUAAAAUGGGUAUGGUUGAGUGUGAAAAGGGUAUGGUUGAGUGUGAAAUGGGUAUGGUUGAGUGUGAAAUGGGUAUGGUUGAGUGUGAAAUGGGUAUGGUUGAGUGUGAAAAGGGUAUGGUUGAGUGUGAAAUGGGUAUGGUUGGGUGUGAAAUGGGUAUGGUUGAGUGUGAAAUGGGUAUGGUUGAGUGUGAAAAGGGUAUGGUUGAGUGUGAUAUGGGUAUGGUUGAGUGUGAAAUGGGUAUGCAGCGCCCUCGCGCUACUUUUGGGGGAAGGGGUCCGCAGCCCUUAGGAGGGGGAAUUUUUCGCGGCGUUUCCCUUUUUAGGGGAUUUUUUUUACUAACUCUCUCAUUAUUACAUGUGUACAUGUUUUCACUAUAUUCAUUGCAUUUUUCAUAAUUUAGUAUGUUUGCAAAGAUUAAAUUGAAAUAGAAUUGAGAUUUAAUAAUCAUGAGACACAUCGUUCUAUUAAAAAAAAAAAAAAAAAAAAAAAUAUAUUUUUUUUUCAAGGAAAUUUUUCCCCCCAAAAGGGGAAAAAAGUAUACUUUUCAGGUGGGGGACUGCCGCCGAAUUUCGGCGACAGAUUAAAUAGAUUGAGGGCCCUGGUAUGGUUUGGUGUCUUAAUUGCAAAGGAGCCUUGCUAUGGAAAAACCAUGCUUAAUGAAUGUGCGUAAAGUUUUGCAAUCCACACAGGAUAAUCUUGGAUGAUACUUUCCACAUAGACUGGAUUUUCGUUUAGAAAAUACUUGUUUAAUGCUUCCUUCCUUUUAGAAAAUACUUCAUGUACAUUUCCUUCCUUGCGCAGGCUAAUCUGGGACAACACUUUAUGCACAUGCAUUAAGCCCAGUUUUCCCUGAUUGCGGCUCAUAUUUAUUGAGGGUUCUUAUGACCUGUUGAUUUUUAAAUGUGCCAUCUUUGAGCGGUUUUAUUUUGUGUUUAACUUUUUCUUUUAUUUAUAUUUUUUACAAAUAAUAAUGUGUUAGCAUUAAGUGUGGAACUAACUCAUUGUGUGGAAAUUAAAAAUAUUGUGUAAUUGGUUCAAUUUAUACAUGUAUGUGGUAAUUCUUACUUAUUGUGUACAAUAUUUUGUUUGUUAAGAGGCCUAUCACAACCCAACUUUUCUUAUUUUGCUUAUGAUACAGUUUCAUUGGACAUUAUUUUUAAACCCUAUUAAACCAUUUAAAUUUCAGCCUCUUAAAUCUUGUUGUAUUAUAGUUCUUCCAAGCAUCUGUGAUAUUAUAUUUGUAUAUACAUGUAAGGGAACUGAUUUUGUUCUUUAUGUAUAUAUGAAUAUGCCUAUAUCUAGUGUGAUCAAUUUCAAUCAAAUCACGUAAAAUAUAGACUCAAAAUAUAUUUAGCAGGCCCAGAUUUAUGAACAAAAAGAAAGGUCACUUUUUAGCUCAUCUGAGCUCAAUGUGCUCAUGGUGAGCUUUUGUCAUCGUCUUUUGUGUGUUGUGCGGUGUCACCAUUUGCAUUGUUAACACUCCAGAGGCCACACUUAUGAUCCUAUCUUAUGAAAUUAGGUCUGAAAAUUCGUCUCACUAAUAUCUUGUCAUGUUUGCUUGAAAAAACAUGCCUGCCAGGGGGCGGGGCAUUUUUCCUAAUAUGCUUAUAUAUAUGGCGAUACUAAAACCUUGUUAACACUGAAGGGGCCACAUUUAUUUUAUGAUUACUUGGUCAGAAGAUUUGUCCCAAUGAUAUUUUGAACGAGUUCGAAAUUGGUUGAAAAACAUGGCCGCCAGGGGGUGUUUUUUUUUCCUUAUAUGACUAUAGUAAAAACUUGUUAACACUCUAGAGGCCACAUGAAACUUGGUCAGAAGUCAAGAUUUGUUCCAAUGAUAUCUUGGACAAGUUCGAAAUUGUUCCAAUUGAUUGAAAAAUCUAGCCACCAGGGGGCGGAGUUUUCAUUAAAUGGCUAUUAUGGCUAUUGUAAAACCUUGUUAAUACUAGUGAUCACAUUUAUUUUCCAAUCUUCAUGAAACUUUGUCAGAAGAUUUGUCCCAAUGAUAUUUUGGACGAGUUCGAAAAUGGUUCCAGUUUGUUGAAAAAGAUGGCCACCAGGGGGCGGGGCAUUUUCUCUUAUAUGCAAUAUAUUACUAUUGUAAAACCUUGUUAACACUCUAGAGGCCACAUUUAUUGCCUGAUCGUAAUGAAACUUGGUCAGAAGAUUUGUUCCAACGAUAUCUUGGACAAGUUUGAAAAUGGUUCCAGUUGGCUGCAUAACAUAGCCGCCAGGGGAUGGGGCAUUUUCCUUAUAUGGCUAUUAGUAAAAACUUGUUAACACCGACACUCUAAUUGUCACAUUUAUUGUCCAAUCUUCAUAAAACUUGGUCAGAACAAUUGUUUUAAGGAUAUCUAAUCAGUUCGAAAAUAGUUCUGGUCUGUUGAAAAACAUGGGCACCAGGGGUCAGGGAAUUUCUCCUAAUAUUUCUUAAGUAAAACCGUGUUAUCACUCUAAUAGUUACAUUUAUAUUUCUCUCUUCAUAAAACUUGGUUAGAACAUUAAUUUUUGUUCUAAUGAUAUCUUGGGGCUGCACUGAGCAGGUCAGUUCCUUUGUAUCUUAGGUGCGCGACUUGGGGCCUUUCAGGCCCUCUUGUUUAAUGUUGCUAUAUCAUGAGGAAAAUAUUCAUUUUAAACAUAUUCAAGAUUUCACUGAAUUUAAAAGAGAUCUAAACAAUAUAAAGACUAUUUUGUAGAACACAAUCAACUUAAAAAAUUAAGUAUGAAUCAAUCAAAUAAGUGACUUGAGCCAGAUUUUCUUAAACUGGCCUUAACUUUUUUUAGAAAUUAUAGCCUUAUUUUUCUUAUUUAUUGGUAUUGCCAACACAGGAUAUUUUUCUUAAGUGAAAGGAAAAAUUUCCAAGUAAGAUUGCCAAAAUCUAAAUACGUAAUAAAUAUAAAUUAAAGUAUGUGUGUCUAUGGAAUAACCUUAGACAAUUGUACGUGUUACAUAAGUUUAAAGUUGUUAAAGUUAUUAUUUAUUCCCUCCUUUUAAGAAAGCUGUUUAUUGCAGUCGCACUGUCUGCCUGUGGUCUAACUGUCUGUCUGUGUGAAGUUGCUUGUCACAGUCAUACCUUAAACAUUUAUUGAUAGACUUCGAAAGACUAUGGUGCAAAUGUCCAUCAUCACUAGACGUGUUGUAAUAAGGUCAAGGUCUUACUAAAGUGUAAGGUCAAAGUUGACCAUAAAACAGCUAGAAAAUUUAUGUUUAAGUCAUAGCUUUGCCAUAAUGUGUCUUAUGGUCUUUUUUUUAAAGCUCGCCUGAGAACAAUGUGCAUGCGCAUGGUGAGCUUUUGUGAUUGCCUUUAGUCCGUCAUGCAGUAUCAACAUUUGCCUUGUUAACACUAGUGGCAAUAUUUAUUGUCCAAUCUUUAUGAAACUUGGUCAGAUAAUUUUUCCCAUUGAUAUCUUGGACGAGAUCCAAAAUGGUUUCGGUUGGUUGAAAAACAUGGCCACCAGGAGGCGGGGCAUUUUCCUUAUAUGGCUAUAGUAAAUCCUUGUUAACACUCUAGAGGCCACAUUAAUUGUCCAAUCUUCAUGAAACUUGGUGAGAAGAUUUUUCCCAAUAAUAUCUUGGACGUGUUUGAAAAAUUUUCUGGUUGGUUGAAGAACAUGGCUGCCAGGGGGUGGGGCAUUAGUUAAUCCUUGUUAACACUCUAGAGGCCACAUUUAGUGUCCGAUCUUCAUGAAACUUGGUGAGAAGAAUUUUCGCAAUGAUAUCUUGCACGAACUGUCAAAAUGGUUCUGGUUGGUUGAAGAACAUGGCUGCCAGGCGGCGGGGCAUUUUUCAUUAUAUGGCUAUGGUAAAACCUUGUUAACUCUGUAGUUAUAUAUUUUAAAUAGGAGUGGUCAUGUAGGUGACAAAAAUUCCAAAUUUUACGGACAACAUAACCGGAAUGGUUAUGUUGUCCGUAAAAUUUGGAAUUUUAGUGUGGGAAUCACAGCGGUUACAAAUUUGAUGAUAAAGAUUAAAUCAUGUAAUUAAAGGUUAGGGAGGGAUGACAUGUAUGGUUACAUAUUGUUGUUUUAUACAUAUAUGUUUUACUUAGCAGUGAAAGUGUUAAAAAUAGAUCAAAUGAAGAACCAUAUUGUUUAUACAUGCUUUUUGGAUUUAAGUAGCACUAUUUCUUUGUUGUGAAAAAAGGACUGUUUAUACAAAGGUUGUUAUCAUUUUUUAACCAAUUGAUUCUCGUUCCUUUUAGCAUUUUACUAAGGUUUUGCGAGAACAUUUUUGUAUGUUUUUUGUUUAAGAGAUGGCUCUUCCUUAAUGACCUUGAACAAUACCAGUAAGUGUAUGCUUUUCUGUACCUUUUUCAUGGAGAAUGGAAAUUUUUACUUAUGCCUUUAUUUGUUUGGUAUAAACCUUAGGGAUUUGCUUCCCGUUCCGGCAAUAUUUAGUUGUCCUUUACACAGUUAACCCUUUCCCACUCAGAAGCAAAGUAAAAAUGGCUAUGUGCAAACAGCAUUAAACCAGUAACUCACAGUCUGUUGAGGUUUUAUGCUGUUUGCUGCUCAUCAUUAUCUAAGGUUUAAAAAAAAGAAGCCUUUAAUCUUGAAUUUAGUAAAAAAGGUCUUUAAUUAGAUAUAACUUUCUAAGGGACUACAAAUGCGUCAAAAUAUGUAUCCAAGUGGUAAAGGGUAACAUUGCCAAUGAUGGCAAAGCGCUCAGUGAAUGUUAUUACAAUUUCUUACAAUUUGAUGAGCAAUAUUAAUUGACUGUCUGUUGAGCUGUAUAAUAAUGCUACUUUAUUUCCAUUCAUAAACAUUAAAGGCCAUUGGCGCAUAAUACAUGAGAAUAAAAAAACAUAAUUCUCUAAACAGGAGAGCUGUGUUGCAUAAAUUGAUAUGUAAUAACGAGUUUUAAUUGAGUAGGACAAGAAGUAUUUUGAGAGUUUACAAUUUGAUGGGGAUGAUAUAUAAUAUAUAUAUAUAUAUAUAUAUAUAUAUAUAUAUGUAUGCCUAUAUUGUUACUUUGUCAUUAGAACAAAUUAUUAAUAAAAAAAAAUCAUGUAUCAAAUUUUUAUCUCUAUACCAUGAGAUUAAAUACAAUACUGUUAUUUGAUUAUCUAUUUCAAAUGAAAAAAGUCAUGAUAUUUGCAGUUGACAACACUAUUUUGAUCAUAAUUAGGUAGCAUAUUCUAUUUUCUUUUGUUUAUUUAUUAAUAACUUGUAACCUAUAAAAAAGACGAUGAGAGAAUACAUUCAUAAAAGUAAAUAAAUUUACAUCAGAGAAAUAUUAUAUGAACAAACUUGCCACAAAUUUGUGAAGAUAAUUAUAAUUUAUCUAGUUUUAUAAUGUGAAGCUGAAAGCUUCCAUUACAGCAGUGUUUUGUAUUUGUGUAUGUUUGUAUACAAAACUGUUGCAUUAUUUGCUAUAUUGUAUACAAGACUUCUAAUGGCAUGUUUACUAAUAAAAAUCUUGGAUUUCUA